CCUACGGGAGGCAGCAGUGGGGAAUAUUGCACAAUGGGGGGAACCCUGAUGCAGCGACGCCGCGUGGGUGAAGGAGUAUUUCGGUAUGUAAAGCCCUAUCAGCAGGGAAGAACAAUGACGGUACCUGACUAAGAAGCACCGGCUAAAUACGUGCCAGCAGCCGCGGUAAUACGUAUGGUGCAAGCGUUAUCCGGAUUUACUGGGUGUAAAGGGAGCGCAGGCGGCGCGUUAAGCCUGGUGUGAAAGCCCGCGGCCCAACCGCGGGACUGCAUUGGGAACUGGCGCGCUGGAGUGCCGGAGGGGUAGGCGGAAUUCCUAGUGUAGCGGUGAAAUGCAUAGAUAUCACGCAGAACCCCGAUUGCGAAGGCAGCCUUCCGGCGCCCUACUGACGCUGAGGCACGAAAGUGCGGGGAUCGAACAGGAUUAGAUACCCGGGUAGUC
rnacentral:rRNA from 1 species